CCGGUCGGCGGUUCCGAAAAAAUUUCGCGACGAAUUUGAAAACAUUCGAUGUUUGCGAAAUCAUGGCAAAUGUUUUCGAUAUUGAAAGAAUUGUUUUCGUCUUUGAAACAAAAUGUUUGCGUAAUCGCAAACCCCAUGAUUGCGGUACGAAUUUCUGUGUCGUCCGACGCAGCCAAUGCGUUACACUUUGACAGCUCGACGAUCAGCUGCUCGCGCACAAAUAAACAAACAGAAAUUGUACGAACAUAACCUUCUCGCGGAUGUUUUGUUUCUUUUCUGUGCUGCUGUGAUUUUUGUUUAUAAAAUCGGGAGUGAAACUUGUUACCGGUCCGGUCUUGUCCGCACGAGUGAACCGAGCACCAUCGGGGAUGCUUGACCACAUUUGGCCCAGAUCUCAGGCUAGGCCGAUUUUGGUCUGAUCCGGAAUCAGGAGGAGGAAACAACAAAGGACGGCUGCAGCUGAAUGCACAGCGUAGAAAUCUUCGUUAAGAUGAUUUUCCCCGGAGAGAAAACUGACACCAUCUGAUGGUGUCAUUGGCCAAAACAACACGACAGACAGCCAGCACCCGCGAAGAUACCGGCAAGAACGUGUCCCCGUUCCUGUGCUCACCGGACACGAAACCUGAGGCGCGGAUACGAAUGCGGUGAGAACACCACGAUCGUGCCUAACAGCAUGUGUACCACGAAGCCUCAGCUUGACCCGCAGUUCUACAACAUCAUCGACUGCCUUGUGCGGUGGUAGGUUUCCGAGUGGAGCAAGUGCUCAAAACCCUGUGCAGGCGGCCUCAAGGAGCGUCGCGUCGAGUGCAAGCAAAUCAUGGCCCAGGAACACAAGGUCGAAUGGCCGGCGUCAAUGUGCCCGAGCAACACACCUCCGAACAAGAAGCCCUGCAACGGCAAGGCGUGCGCCCCGGAAUACCAGAAGCCCCCGAUCCCCGGGAACCAACUCGACCUUUAUCUAGUACGACCCCGAGAAAAACAAUCUCUCGUUCAAAUUCGGCGGUGCAGCGACCACACGAACACUCUUUGCGACGCAAAUCAAAAUCAAAUGCCCCGUCGAUCGAUUCAACCGAAUCAAAAUUCGGUGGACCAAAGAAGCCGUCGCCGUAGCUCAAUCUACGGCUCGCAAUUGCAGCAUGAGUUCGGUGAACACCUUCACAGAUCCGACUGCUGACGGAGAUUCUGGGGACUUGUUCCGGGCGGACGGUCUUCUAGUGGAGGCCACUCCGCUCGUCGAUUCUCGAAGUGAAAAUCGGCGGUCAACCUUCAGGACGAGCCAGCUCGCUGCGCGACGUGGGAAAUCAGCCAGAUCGACGACCCUAGCACGCUGCACCGGUCUCAGCACCUCUAUCCGGGUGGCCCCGCGCCGACGUCACCGAGCACGAGAAGGACCUGUACAAACAUUACCAAAAAUCAUAGCUGCCGCGGUGCCGGCCACAAAGACUUUGGCAAGUGGAGCAUCAACGAGUGCAUUUCGGCCACUCCACCUUCUUUUCUUACUGCUAGCACCGGGAUUCACGUCACGGGGAGCAACAUUCCAACGGCGGCACCGACGCCCAGCGGUAACCUGCUGCCCCACGGACAUCGAGGACGGCCAGAUCAGAACAAUCGACUCGUUUGAACCUUCACAAGUCAAAGGCAAAACACAUCGAAAAAAAAUAAAAUUCACAAAAUUGCUUUGAUUUGGUUUUGAAUACUGAUUAAAUAAAUAAAAACAUUGAAACCUCUUCUUCUUCUUAUUUCCAUCCAAAAUUUGAAAAGCAACGGUCAAUUCAAAACAGUAAAUAUUGUAGUGGCUGCGUGCUGCGUGCUUUUGGCAGGCAUGCGUUACGGCGUUACGUUUGCGAUAUCGAAAAUCACCGUUUGCGAUAUUGGAAGCAAUGCUUCCUGCUGACGGGUGUAAACGGAGGUUUGCGAUCGGUAGAGCAAAUCGGAAGCAAAGUUUGCG